rnacentral:misc_RNA from 1 species
GAUGAAGAACGCAGCGAAAUGCGAUAAGUAAUGUGAAUUGCAGAAUCCAGUGAAUCAUCGAAUCUUUUAACGCACAUUGCGCCCGCCAGCAUUCUGGCGGGCAUGCCUGUUCGAGCGUCAUUUCAACCCUCGACCUCCCUUUGGGGAAGUCGGCGUUGGGGACCGGCAGCACACCGCCGGCCCUGAAAUGGAGUGGCGGCCCGUCCGCGGCGACCUCUGCGUAGUAAUCCAACUCGCACCGGAACCCCGACGCGGCCACGCCGUAAAACACCCAACUUCUGAACGUUGACCUCGAAUCAGGUAGGACUACCCGCUGAACUUAAGCAUAUCAAUAAGCGGAGGA